rnacentral:tRNA from 1 species
GCCACUGUAGCACAAUGGUAGUGCGUUGCUUUCCUAGGGUGCUUGAAAAGGCUGCUUACCCAAGGCAAAGGUUGCGGGUUCGAUCCCCGUCAGUGGUU